GAGUAGUAGUCUGUGAAGUGACCACAACUCCAUGGACCAUCAAUCAAAUGUCAAAAUAUUUGACGACAACAAAACACAUCGUUUACAAAUAUGUCAGUACUAAAGUUAAAAUCAUUAAAUGAAUUUAAAAAAAAAUAAGAAACUAAAAAAAAACGAUCACAACUUCACAAAAUCACAAGGCGACAUAACCUUAUUAAAGUAAAUCUCCAAUUACUAUUAGAUACGGAUUAAAACAGAAGAAAAAAAAAUAACAACCGUACCUUAAAAUCUAGGAAAAACCACCAUAGGAAACCGAGCGGUACACAGCCAAACAAACAACACCAGCCGUUGAUGAAAUGUCCAGAUUAAAUUGCCCAAUCAAUCCAUCAAUUGUACGAUGUAAUAUUAAAACGUGCUCGCGUUGCGGGCACGAACGUGUAUUUUAUUGAUUGUAAUAAAUUUUUAUCCUUGAUGUGUACCAUUCAACGGUGAUUUUUUCAAGAGUAAUUCCGUCGUUGAUUAUCCCAAUCCAUGAAUUGUCGAUGUAAUAUUAAAAACGUGCUCGCGUUGCGGGCACAAACGUGUAAAAUU